UAGUGACAAUAGCGGAGAGGAAACACCCGUUCCCAUUCCGAACACGGAAGUUAAGCUCUCCAGCGCCGAUGGUAGUUGGGGCCAGCGCCCCUGCAAGAGUAGGUCGUUGCUA
rnacentral:rRNA from 2 species